rnacentral:sRNA from 1 species
GUGUAAGGAAGUUCGACUAAGAACGUCACGUCCUGUGACAACGUCGAACUGACCCACGUCGUGUGGG